UUGAUGCUUAAGUCCUAUAAUGGCAACAUUUAUAAAAAUCUGGACCUCACUCUUACAUUUGCACUGCAAUUUCUUUAAUUAUCUAAAUAAACAAGAAUCCUGGGCCAUGAACAGAGAUGAAACUGAUUUGGCAGCCCAGAGAGAGAGCAACACAGGCCUCUUUGACAUCCUCAAAACAUGCACAGUAUUUCCUUUCCAUAGACCACCAACCUGUGAGGCAUCUUGUACUCGCCAUGUUCCUUUAGCCUCUUAUCUGACCUUCUAAUGACUUGGGAUAUCAUUUAAAAAUGGGAACUAGUGAAAGGGUAGUGUGGAUUGCUAUUUUUGAACACAGUAAAAAAAAAAAAAAAAGGGUCAUACGGCAAGGGAGUGCAGGGUCCUGGGGUCAAAGAGCAACUUCUCCCCUGGCGCCAGGCGCUGACUCUCCACAUGCAGCUCCUCCAGCUUGCUCAGUCGCUCCAUGCCCUCUACCACCGUAAUCCUGUUACCACCCAGAUAGCUGCAGAGAGCACAGACACAAGAGUCCUCCAAAGGUACAGAUGGGUGAGGUUGCACGCAAAGUCCAGGUUGCAAAUGUGCGUGAUGUGAUUGUCGUACAGAUAGAGCACGGUGAGGUUUCUGCACAUGGAGAGGUCGCCCUGCAAAGUGUCAUGAAAAGCAAGCAAGCACGCCUCUCUGUUAUGACGGCAGACGAAAGAACAGUGGAUUGUCCCCACAGAGUCUGACGCUCUUUGCUAACUUCAUCCUGACCUGAACACAUCAACAGCAGUACAAUUCCAACACCAUAUACUGCAAGUAUCUCCAACUCACACACGUUCAUCCCGUUCAACUACACUUCCCCAUUACAAGAACACGAGAUGCAUUCAGGGACACUCCGAACAUCACAAAUAAAUAAACAGGAAGAUAAAAAAAACAUUAAGAUAAAAAAAAACAUUAAAUGCAACUUUCUAACUCUUAAUACGGAUGUACAAUUUGCUUCA